CCCAACAAGAUGAACUCCCACUAACCAAGGCAGAUCUAUUGACACCUCUGAAUUUCUCCUUUUCAGUAACAGAGACCAAUGUUAAACACCCGUUAUGGCACUAUUCCUCAAGGAAAUUGACUACUUGGUGAGAAAUUACAUUGGGUACCUUCUAUCCCGAAAACAGUGCUACUCAUCCUCAAAGAAAGGAGAAGGAUGUUUGUUUGAUGAACACAGCGACACACAGUGGUGAUACCGUAUGAAAAUGGAAGCAGAGACUGGUGUCAUGCUGCCACAAGAUAUGGAAAAUCAGGAGUCACCAUAAGAUGAAAGAGGCAAAGAAGGAUUCUCCUAUACUUUCAGAGCAAUAACUUGGGUGAGUCACAUAUGACUGCCGUGACCGUUUCCAUCUGUGAUCCUAACUAUGAAUAUCCCUAACUAUGGCAUAAACAAAGGGCAACCCCUACUUCCACCCUCAGGCCAUGGGGCUUGAUGUGGGAACAUGGAAUCACUGGUGAAAGGCAUCCAGAGGAGGUCUCACUCUGUUUCCGGGGAUGGAGGGCAGUGGCACAAACACAACUCACUGCAGCCUCAACCUCCUGACCUCAAACGAUCCUCCCACUUCAGCCUACCAAGUAGCUGGGACUACAGUCAUGAGGCCACAUAUAGGACUGCUUUCCAUCUGGGAUUGUAAAAUUACAAAGUGGGCACUGUUUAUCAACCUUGCUACGUUACACAUCUGAAUCAGCUCUGGAAUAUUAUAAAUACAAAUUGCUGGACCCCAGCCCAAGGGAGCUGGGAAUGGUACUCAAGGCUUUCCUAGCUUUAAGAACUCAUCAGAAGAUUUGCCUGCAUAGCCCAAGAGGAAAAACACUUGCUUAGAGCAUAAAAGUCAUUUUUAAGGUCAACAAAAAGCUUAGUGAAUUAGGAGACACACAUUUUUACAUAAUGUCAUUAUAUGUACACUAUCUUUGGCAUAACUAUGGGCAAACAAAGGCUCUGAAAAUCAGGUUAUCUCCUCCAUUUGACUACAUGUUUGUGGCACUUGAGUUCAGCAUGUCUGAAAUCAAUUGCUCUCUCAUCUUUCACCUCCACUACCGAGUUGGUGCCUCUCACCCAGUAUACUUCACUUCUGGCACACUGUAAUACUCAUUUGGACUCCUAAAAUCUACUCUCUCAUUUAAAUCUAUCCUGAAUUCCAUUACCAAAUUUAUCUACUUAGGGCAAAACCAUGUUGAUCAGCCUUCAGUAGGUCCUCACUGAUCACUGGCCAAAUUUCCCCAGAUCCUCCAACUGUCACUUAAGGACCUUGAAUAUGUGAUACUAGAUAAUCUCUACCAGUUUCUUUUUAAAUUUUCCUUCAUACAUUCAAUAUUUCAGCCAAGCCUCUUGGUGCUCUGUGUACUUAUCCCUAUUUUUCCCCACAUAUGUGCUUUUUAAAAAACUUCUUAACAGAGUGCCUUAUCCAACUUAUACAUAUUCAAAUCCCACCCACCCUCCGAUUUCAACUCAAAUUUUGUUUAUUUUCCUGAGCUUUCCCUGACCCCUCUCCCAUUUAAAAGUCUCUACUUAAUCAAUCCAAUUAUUAUAAUCAUUUGUACUUUUAUGCCCCAUAACUUUUUAUUGUGUUAUCUUAUUAGUUAUAGAAUAUAUAAACCCUUUAA